UGGCGGCCUUAGCGCGGUGGUCCCACCUGACCCCAUGCCGAACUCAGAAGUGAAACGCCGUAGCGCCGAUGGUAGUGUGGGGCCUCCCCAUGCGAGAGUAGGGAACUGCCAGGC
rnacentral:rRNA from 1 species